CCAGGCAGGUGUAGCCAGCCACCGCCCCACAAAGGAGAGGACAGGUAACAUGUGGACUGAGGAAAGACACAUGACACCUGAGCGUGGAUGGACAGGAGACACACAAGCAGAUGCCAGACCGGAGGAUAAGUGGGCAGAGCCACCAAAAGGCUCCCCUCUUAGUGCUGGAGGUCUCAAGCCAAGCCCAGAUGCUGAAGCUGCAGAGGUGGAAGGAAUCACGCUGCAUGAAAAAUCCUUUUUGUUCCUCCUCCCUACUUUUUCAUUAAUACAUUAUAGAUAAAAAUAUGCAAGGCUGUUUUCUCUUUCUUACAUCACAGUAUCCCACGUAUCCCUCCCUCUCCUUGUGCUUCCUGAGAGUCAUGCCAUGUGAUGAAUGGUAUUUUGUGUUUUAGGAAUGAAAUAAAUCAACACAACUAUAUAAUCCAGAGAGGAAAAGAUAUUUGUGGUGGGAGAUAAUCUUUCUGGAAGCAUUCCCAUUUCUGGAGGCUCACUGUCUCUCGUAGCACUUCUGAUCUCUAAACAUGACUGAAACGGUACCUUCUAUUGGAGAUAAUCUUUCUAGAAGCACUCCUCUUUCUGGAGCUUCGUUCUGGGUUGAAGAACUUCUGAUCUCUGAAGAUUCUGAGGAAAAGACACUUGUGGAUGGAGGAGAUAAUCUUUCUGAGAACCUUUCACUUACUACUGGCUUACUCUCAGGGGAAGCACAUCUAACAUCAGAGUAUUCUGUGGAUGAAAUGCUGAUGGGUGAAGACAUACUCUAUGAGAACCUUUUAGUUACUACUACUCUCAGAACUCAGAGGAAAAGACAAUUGUGGAGGAAGACACUCUCUCUGGGAACAUUGUGGUGUAAGAGAGAGACUGGGAAGGCCUUCUGGGCAAAGAAACCAACCUUUGAGAGAAACAAUGGUGGGCUCUAUGGUCCGUCCAGUACGGUCUGAGACCUCACCUUGUUUCCCUUAAUAAGGGUCGGUUCCUUUGCCCAGAGAGGCUUUCCAGUUUCUGUCUUACACCCGUUACUUCAGGAUUGCUCUCUAUGGAAACACAUCUAGACUGACAUCACUCAGCGGACAAGAUCUCUGUGGCAGGAGACACUCGUUCUGGCAACAUCCCACUUACUACGGGCUUCCUCUCUGGGGAAGCACAGCAAGAGAAAAAUUGGACAUUUAAUGAAAUAGAGGCCGCUGAAGCAUUCCUGAUGAAAAGACAAGCGCUGAGAAGAAAAUCUGACUCUCAAAUUGAAGACUCAAAAGCAGCAUUCAAAGGAAUGAAAUAAAUCAACACAACUAUAUAAUCCAGAGAGGAAAAGAUAUUUGUGGUAGGAGAUAAUCUUUCUGGGAACAUUCCUAUUCCUGGAGGAUCGCUGUCUCUCGAAGCACUUCUGAUCUCUAAACAUGACUGAAACGAUGCCUUCUAUUGGAGAUAAUCUUUCUGCGAACGAUGCCUUCUAUUGGAGAUAAUCUUUCUGCAAACACUCCCAUUUCUGGAGCUUCUUCUUUCUUAAAGCACUUCUAAUCUCUGAAUAUUCAGAGGAAAAGACACUUGUGGUAGGAGAUAAUCUUUCUGGAAGCAUUCCCAUUUCUGGAGGCUCACUGUCUCUCGAAGCACUUCUGAUCUCUAAACAUGACUGAAACGGUACCUUCUCUAGGAGAUAAUCUUUCUAGAAGCACUCCUCUUUCUGGAGCUUCGUUCUGGGUUGAAGAACUUCUGAUCUCUGAAGAUUCUGAGGAAAAGACACUUGUGGAUGGAGGAGAUAAUCUUUCUGAGAACCUUUCACUUACUACUGGCUUACUCUCAGGGGAAGCACAUCUAAUAUCAGAGUAUUCUGUGGAUGAAAUGCUGAUGGGUGAAGACAUACUCUAUGAGAACCUUUUAGUUACUACUACUCUCAGAACUCAGAGGAAAAGACAAUUGUGGAGGAAGACACUCUCUCUGGGAACAUUGUGGUGUAAGAGAGAGACUGGGAAGGCCUUCUGGGCAAAGAAACCAACCUUUGAGAGAAACAAUGGUGGGCUCUAUGGUCCGUCCAGUACGGUCUGAGACCUCACCUUGUUUCCCUUAAUAAGGGUCGGUUCCUUUGCCCAGAGAGGCUUUCCAGUUUCUGUCUUACACCCGUUACUUCAGGAUUGCUCUCUAUGGAAACACAUCUAGACUGACAUCACUCAGCGGACAAGAUCUCUGUGGCAGGAGACACUCGUUCUGGCAACAUCCCACUUACUACGGGCUUCCUCUCUGGGGAAGCACAGCAAGAGAAAAAUUGGACAUUUAAUGAAAUAGAGGCCGCUGAAGCAUUCCUGAUGAAAAGACAAGCGCUGAGAAGAAAAUCUGACUCUCAAAUUGAAGACUCAAAAGCAGCAUUCAAAGGAAUGAAAAAAAUCAACACAACUAUAUAAUCCAGAGAGGAAAAGAUAUUUGUGGUAGGAGAUAAUCUUUCUGGGAACAUUCCUAUUCCUGGAGGAUCGCUGUCUCUCGAAGCACUUCUGAUCUCUAAACAGGACUGAAACGAUGCCUUCUAUUGGAGAUAAUCUUUCUGCGAACGAUGCCUUCUAUUGGAGAUAAUCUUUCUGCAAACACUCCCAUUUCUGGAGCUUCUUCUUUCUUAAAGCACUUCUAAUCUCUGAAUAUUCAGAGGAAAAGACACUUGUGGUAGGAGAUAAUCUUUCUGGAAGCAUUCCCAUUUCUGGAGGCUCACUGUCUCUCGAAGCACUUCUGAUCUCUAAACAUGACUGAAACGGUACCUUCUCUAGGAGAUAAUCUUUCUGGAAGCACUCCUCUUUCUGGAGCUUCGUUCUGGGUUGAAGAACUUCUGAUCUCUGAAGAUUCUGAGGAAAAGACACUUGUGGAUGGAGGAGAUAAUCUUUCUGAGAACCUUUCACUUACUACUGGCUUACUCUCAGGGGAAGCACAUCUAACAUCAGAGUAUUCUGUGGAUGAAAUGCUGAUGGGUGAAGACAUACUCUAUGAGAACCUUUUAGUUACUACUACUCUCAGAACUCAGAGGAAAAGACAAUUGUGGAGGAAGACACUCUCUCUGGGAACAUUGUGGUGUAAGAGAGAGACUGGGAAGGCCUUCUGGGCAAAGAAACCAACCUUUGAGAGAAACAAUGGUGGGCUCUAUGGUCCGUCCAGUACGGUCUGAGACCUCACCUUGUUUCCCUUAAUAAGGGUCGGUUCCUUUGCCCAGAGAGGCUUUCCAGUUUCUGUCUUACACCCGUUACUUCAGGAUUGCUCUCUAUGGAAACACAUCUAGACUGACAUCACUCAGCGGACAAGAUCUCUGUGGCAGGAGACACUCGUUCUGGCAACAUCCCACUUACUACGGGCUUCCUCUCUGGGGAAGCACAGCAAGAGAAAAAUUGGACAUUUAAUGAAAUAGAGGCCGCUGAAGCAUUCCUGAUGAAAAGACAAGCGCUGAGAAGAAAAUCUGACUCUCAAAUUGAAGACUCAAAAGCAGCAUUCAAAGCAGUUUUCCAUAAUGAGAGCAAGUGAUCAGUAGAAAAAAUGAGCACAAUACCACCUCUUUGCUUCUGAAGGGGGUCUCUGUGCUCUGGCCAAUACUUCCUGG